CCUACGGGUGGCAGCAGUGAGGAAUAUUGGUCAAUGGGCUUACGCCUGAACCAGCCAAGUCGCGUGAGGGAAGACUGCCCUAUGGGUUGUAAACCUCUUUUGUCAGGGAGCAACGCCGGCUACGUGUAGCCGGACUGAGAGUACCUGAAGAAAAAGCAUCGGCUAACUCCGUGCCAGCAGCCGCGGUAAUACGUAGGGGGCAAGCGUUAUCCGGAAUUACUGGGUGUAAAGGGAGCGUAGACGGUUAAGUAAGUCUGGAGUGAAAGGCCGGGGCCCAACCCCGGGACUGCUCUGGAAACUAUUGAACUUGAGUGCAGGAGAGGUAAGCGGAAUGCCUAGUGUAGCGGUGAAAUGCGUAGAUAUUAGGAGGAACACCAGUGGCGAAGGCGGCUUACUGGACUGUAACUGACACUGAGGCACGAAAGCGUGGGGAGCAAACAGGAUUAGAUACCCCAGUAGUC
rnacentral:rRNA from 1 species